GAUGAACGCUGGCGGCGUGCCUAAUACAUGCAAGUCGAGCGAACAGACGAGGAGCUUGCUCCUCUGACGUUAGCGGCGGACGGGUGAGUAACACGUGGAUAACCUACCUAUAAGACUGGGAUAACUUCGGGAAACCGGAGCUAAUACCGGAUAAUAUAUUGAACCGCAUGGUUCAAUAGUGAAAGACGGUUUUGCUGUCACUUAUAGAUGGAUCCGCGCCGCAUUAGCUAGUUGGUAAGGUAACGGCUUACCAAGGCAACGAUGCGUAGCCGACCUGAGAGGGUGAACCGCCACCCUGGAACAGAGAAACGGUCCAGACUCCUACGGGAGGCAGCAGUAGGGAAUCUUCCGCAAUGGGGGAAAGCCUGACGGAGCAACGCCGCCGGAGUGAUGAAGGUCUUCGGAUCGUAAAACUCUGUUAUUAGGGAAGAACAAAUGUGUAAGUAACUAUGCACGUCUUGACGGUACCUGAUCAGAAAGCCACGGCUAACUACGUG
rnacentral:rRNA from 1 species